ACGAACGCUGGCGGCGUGCCUAAUACAUGCAAGUAGAACGCUGAAGGAGGAGCUUGCUUCUCUGGAUGAGUUGCGAACGGGUGAGUAACGCGUAGGUAACCUGCCUGGUAGCGGGGGAUAACUAUUGGAAACGAUAGCUAAUACCGCAUAAUAGCAGUUGUUGCAUGAUAACUGUUUGAAAGGUGCAAUUGCACCACUACCAGAUGGACCUGCGUUGUAUUAGCUAGUUGGUGGGGUAACGGCUCACCAAGGCGACGAUACAUAGCCGACCUGAGAGGGUGAUCGGCCACACUGGGACUGAGACACGGCCCAGACUCCUACGGGAGGCAGCAGUAGGGAAUCUUCGGCAAUGGACGGAAGUCUGACCGAGCAACGCCGCGUGAGUGAAGAAGGUUUUCGGAUCGUAAAGCUCUGUUGUAAGAGAAGAACGAGUGUGAGAGUGGAAAGUUCACACUGUGACGGUAUCUUACCAGAAAGGGACGGCUAACUACGUG
rnacentral:rRNA from 1 species